CAGGAGCCGACAUGCCUCCGUUUGUGCCGCUGCCAUGUCUCUAGCGAUGCCUGAGAAGUUCCAGCACAUUUUGUGGGCACUCAACCCCAACAUCGAUGGGCGGCGGAAAAUAGCCUUUGCCAUCACUGCCAUUAAGGGUGUGGGCCGAAGAUAUGCUCAUGUGGCAUUGAGGAAAGCAGACUUUGAUCUCACCAAGGGGGCAGGAGAACUCACCAAGGAUGAGGUGGAACAUGUGAUCACCAUUAUGCAGAAUUCAUGCCAGUACAAGAUCCCUGGUUCUUGAACAGACAGAAGGAUGUCAAGGAUGAAAAAUAUAGGCAGGCCUUGGCCAGACAACAAGCUCCGUGAAGACCCAGAGCGACUGAAGAAGAUUUGGGCCCAUAAAGCGUUGCAUCACUUCUGGGGCCUUCAUGUUUGAGGUCAGCACACCAAGACCACUGGGCACCAUGGCCAUACUGUGGGUGUAUUCAAGAAUAAAUAAAAUCUGUAGGCCUUGUUUGUUAAGAAAUAGUUUAUAUGCCUAAAGAAA